rnacentral:sRNA from 1 species
UUGGCUUGUCGUUCCAUCUAGAUUGUGCUUUCAAUAGUGAUAAAUCAGGUCGCAAGGAUGAUAAGCCAAGUUUAUAUUGGUGGAUACUUCCAUUGCUUCUCUUGUGGCAAAAACAACAUCAAUCUGAGUAAAAUAAA